GCGACCCCAGGAUGGGCGAGGCCACCCGCUGA
rnacentral:rRNA from 3 species